GACAGAGGUCCCGAGCGUUAGGCGGAAUCACUGGGCUUAAAGCGUGUGUAGGCGGAUUGGUAAGUACCUUGUGAAAUCCCACGGCUUAACCGUGGAACUGCUUGGUAUACUGCUUAUCUUGGGCCACUUAGGGGUUACCGGAACAAACGGUGGAGCGGUGAAAUGCGUAGAUAUCGUUUGGAACGCCGAUGGUGAAAACAGGUAGCUGGGAGUGUGCUGACGCUGAGACACGAAAGCCAGGGGAGCGAACGGG
rnacentral:rRNA from 1 species